AGCAGCCGCGGUAAUUCCAGCUCCAAUAGCGUAUAUUAAAGUUGUUGCAGUUAAAAAGCUCGUAGUUGAAUUUCGGGGUUCUACCGUUGGUCGGGCUUCGUCUGUACUGGCGCGUAGAAUUUCUACCUUCUGGGGAACCAUCAUGUUAUUAAUUUAACGUGGUGGGAAACCAGGACCUUUACCUUGAAAAAAUUAGAGUGUUCAAAGCAGGCUUAUGUCUGAAUACAUUAGCAUGGAAUAAUAAAAUAGGACGGUGGUCCUGUUUUGUUGGUUUCUGAAUCACCGUAAUGAUUAAUAGGGAUAGUUGGGGGCAUUAGUAUUCAAUUGUCAGAGGUGAAAUUCUUGGAUUUAU
rnacentral:rRNA from 1 species